GGUUGGUCCCAGUGCAGUGGUGUUUACAACUAAUUAAUCACAACCAGUUACAGAUUCCUUUGUUCCUUUUCCACUCCCACUGCUCCACUUGACCAGCCUUAA
ensembl:misc_RNA Y_RNA Y RNA